GCUUGUGAGAGAUUACAGACUUUGAGCAUAAAGUUGCCAAAGUGCUUACAAUUGACAUCAAAUACAAGGCAAAGUGCCAUUAUGAAAAUGAAUGUCUGCUAAGAUAAAGUGUUUGGGAGACUGCAAAGGACUUGUGCUGAGAUACACUGAACAAUGAGGAAGUGAGGCAACAUCCAUGUUCCAUAUGAAAAGAUUGUCCCUUUCUGACUGCAGACUACAGGAAGAGGGAUUAUUCCAAAAUGAAGGCUCAGUGAACCCAGGCUUUCAACUACUUCUUUGAGGCCUUCCUCAGCAGGCAGUGCAGGAUGCUGCCAGCCACAUCCCCAUAUUAGCACAAGAAGAUACUCCAAAAAGUACUUCACAAACAGGAAUGAUGUGCAGAGUUCCUUGUGCUCCAGACAUAGCCUGGGGUCAGAUCCAUGGCUACAGUACUGGAUCUCAUCUCAAGAGCAACUCAGGUAUGCUCCACCUAAACAGAGCAUGGAGAGCUCUUGUCAUUUUGGAAACUGCACACCAGACUGUGGUACAGAAGGACCACACCUUUGUCUCUUCUACAGGAAGAACAAAGUUUUAAAAAGCAUCCCUGACGUUCCCUGGUUCAAUUGCUCACCUACUGUACAGUUGAGUGAACACUUAAGGAAGUUGCAAAGCAAUGCAGCCUGUCUGGGACAUGAAGGAAUGUAGAGCGGGAUAAUCACAACAUCAUCAACCCAAUUCUCCAAGCCAGCUCACUAAGCUACCCCGUGCUCAUUAAGGCUUCUGCUUUGCUAAUCAACGAUUGUACAUGUCAUCAUCAGGUAUAUGCUGAAAUGAAAGUGUCGUAAUUAAAAACAAAGGUGCAUGAGUCAUCGGAGACCUGAAUUACUAACUAGCAGCAAAGCAUAACAAAUAGUCUGCAAGUCAAUUCCAAAUCUGCAGGGCUGCUUUUUUAAAUCACGCAUUAACGAGCGUGUGCCAAGCAUAUUUCUGAUUCUGAGAACGCUGUCCUGAUCUUGCACUCUGAACUACGCAUCUUAGCAGCAUACUGCCAUCCUCUUGUCCUUAAAUGUUGAGCAGCAGCAGCAAAAUCCUCAGCAGCAGAAGCAGCUGAAAGGCAAAUGCAGUCUGGGAGGGCAAGACAGCAGAGACAGCCCAUCAACAGCGUAACAACAUGACAGAUGACAGACCCAGAGGCAAAUCCAGGCCUGCCAGCAGAUCAGCCUGUAGAGCCUGCCAAAUAGCCAGAUGCAGCUACUGAAAAGAUAUCAUCCUUAGCUUAGCAUCUGGGUCUUGCUGUGGCCAACCAUACUUCAUGCGCUCUGUGUCCUUACUGCUGACCCCAGCUGCUGGGGGAGGCUGGAGCAAGCAGGAAGAGUGUGACUGCAUCAACACCAGUGCAUUUAAAUUUUGCUAGGACAAACAUCAUGACUAUAAAAAGUGUCAAUUUGUGCACAGUAUAACUAUCAAUUUGCAUUUAUUGCAGGUUUCCUGGCAGUAUGACUACACUGUUCCCCCUCCCCCACUGUCUCUGAGAAAAAGGCAGCUCAGGGAUUCAUUCUUUGUUUGCCAUUCCCACUCAGAAAUACCCAUUUAGCUACUACACCAUCUAGCAGAAGCAACAGUACACUGUAAAUCUGUGCAUAAUUAAGCCCUGGUGUAGAGAUCCUGCUGUCCUUUUUUUCUGGAUAGGUGCAACUCUUCUGGAACGCCGAGAAGUCUAAUUCACCAGCAUUUCACAGGGCUUGGCUUCUAGUAUUACACAUCAAAAAAAUCUUUGUCAAGUGACUGGUGUGACAAUUAAAGUGACAACUAAUGAUAUGGCACCACGGAAAAGAUAAUUACACCCAUUGUUAGACACUUACCAGGUCAGGAUACAUUCACAGCCUUUCAAAAGUGGCACUCAUUCGUUCACCCCAGCAUCCUAUUCCGAUGGUAAUAGUGUAUUAAUAAAGUCAUCAUUUUUCCUUCUACA
rnacentral:lncRNA from 1 species